UAGCGACCUGGCGACCUGGCCCCCUCAUAGUAGCGCGAAAACGCAAGUCUUGCCGGUUCUGUUCUGAGAGCCGUGACAGGAGAUCAGACUUGGGGAGUUGUGAUGGGGACCGUCUCUCAUACUCGGGCGCUGUAUUAACAGCAUGUAUUAACCCAGGAGUAGAGGAGAAGCACCAAGGCAGCAGGAGACAGGAGACAUAAAAGAUCAUCAUGGCAGAACCAGGAGGUGAACAAUCUUCAAGAACACCUCAUGGCCUCCUGCCAGAGUUGGACUGUUCUGGGAACCUAACGACCCCUGACUCAGAGGUUUCAGCAGUCAUGGACAUGCGCAUAAAAACUGAGCCUGUUGAGCAGGACAUGUCUCACCCUGCUGAUUGUACUGAAAUACAGGGUUUCAGCACUGAACAGCUGGGCUCAGGGCUGCACCUGGGUGUUGACCAAAUUAAACAGGAGUCUGUGCUGCUCAACAUAAAGGAAGAGAGUGAUGAUGGUGAGCUGUGCGGCACCACAGAGAUGAUCUGCUUUCCCUCAGAGCAGUUAAAAUCUGGUACAUGUCUGUUCGCCAAGCAAUGUAGAUCACAGACAGGUGAAGUUAUGGCAGAGCAGAAAUCUUUGUUACAGGAGCCCUCUGUUUCAAACACAGAAAUGCACGGAGCUGCAUUUUAUCCCAUAAAAGAGAAGCAUGAGGUCAUAGAGGGGUAUCAGUUAAGCUUCUCUCCGUUAACUGAACAACAUAAACAAGAGACAGAUGCAGUGAAAUCAGAGCAGAAUUCUUUACCAAAUGACCUUUCACAGAAGAGUUUGGUUGAGCCAAAUAGCAGUUCAGCUGCUGAAGGUGCUUUGGAACAAUCUAUGAGACCUGGCACCAGUGGCAUA